rnacentral:rRNA from 1 species
UACGAAGGGGGCUAGCGUUGCUCGGAACCACUGGGCGUAAAGGGCGCGUAGGCGGCAAUUCAAGUCAUCUGUGAAAUCUCCGAGCUUAACUCGGAACGGUCAGAUGAUACUGCUUUGCUAGAGUGCAGAAGGGGCAACCGGAAUUCUUGGUGUAGCGGUGAAAUGCGCAGAUAUCAGGAGGAACACCGGUGGCGAAGGCGGGUCUCUGGGCCGAUAUCGACGCUGAGGAGCGAAAGCGUGGGGAGCGAACAGG